CUUGAAACACGGACCAAGGAGUUUAUAGUGUACACGAGUCUUAAGGUAUUUAAACCUAAUAGGCGAAAUGAAAGUAAAAGAAAUUUUAUUUUCUAAAGGAAGAUGUGCAAUUUUUUUUAAAAAUCUUGCAUCGCAUUCCUGGGGCGCUUUAAAUUCUUAAUUGAAUUGAGGCGCACCUAUAGUGUACACAAUAAUACCCGAAAGAUGGUGAACUAUGCCUGGCCAGGACGAAGCUAGGGGAAACCCUGGUGGAGGUCCGAAGCGAUUCUGACGUGCAAAUCGAUCGCCGGAGCUGGGUAUAGGGGCGAAAGACCAAUCGAACCAUCUAGUAGCUGGUUCUCUCUGAAGUUUCCCUCAGGAUA
rnacentral:rRNA from 1 species